GUUAAGAACCGUACACCGUACGAUUCUGCGGCUUCGUCGAGACAUUGCCACGCGAAGAACGAGGAUGAGGCAGGAGAAUAGUAAAAGGGGGGAGGAAUGGGUGGCGAUAAGAGAGAGGGAAAGGUCACAGGAGAUCCGCGGAGGCUGUGACGGACGAGCCGCCGGACCAGAAUACCAUCCAACUCUUCGUCCACUCGCGCUGAUCAUAAUAAAGGCGAGUUAAUAGGGACGAGGUGGAAACAAAGAAAGGGUGAAAGGCUGAGAACGAGAGAGAGAGAGAGCGAGCGAGCGAGAGAAGGAAAUCUUCCACCUUUUCCCCGGUGAGAUGCAUGGUUUGGUCCACUGAUCGAUCCGUAUUCGGUAGGGGAAGGGGAAUGGCGUUAACAGCAGAGGCGACGGCGGCGGCAAAAGCGGGGUAUGUGACGAGAAGAGGGGAGAAGGGCGGCGGGCCGGCGCCGUUGUUCCGAGCGGACUACAUGUUUUGGUGGGAGCAGCAGGGGGAGUUCAUGGAGCGCCGGCAACUCUUCCUUCGGAGCUACCACUUCUCCCGUAGGCAGGGCCCUCGUGAGCGGGUGCGCCGCACCCUGCUCCGCGUCCGCCGCCUCGUCUGGGCCCGCCUCCGCGCCGCCCGCCGUCUGCCUCGCCUCCUCUGGGCCAAGCUCCGCGCCGUCUUGUCCGGCGGCGGCGUCGGCCGCAGGAGGCGGCGCUCCCACCGCCUCGGCUCCGUCCAGUUCCAGCGGCUGCCACACCGACGCAGCGCCAGCAACAGCAGUAGCGGCUCGUCCGCCGAGUGGUCCAGCUGGUGAUCCAUUCGACGCAGCGCCAGCAACAGUAGUAGCGGCUCCUCCGCCGAGUGGUCCAGCUGGUGCCCGCAUGGAUCACACACGGAGGAAGCAGUAACGUCAGCAAUCAGGAAGCGGAAGCAGAGGCUGCCGCUGCUUUGUUGUCAUCUACUGUUCUUUGACUUCACCUACUAUGUAUGCUUUACCUGCUUUCCAUAUCGUCUCAUGUGAACAAACAUUACAGUCAUGUCCUUCUCUGCACCGGAGUGCGAAAUAUUGCCGGCCUGCUAACGUCGUUGGUACCGAGGAGCUUCCACCACCAGCUUCUUCUUCCUAUCGCAUCAAAAGUCGCGCCAACCAAACAAAUGGAAGCAUCUUGAAUCGUUUCAAAGGAUGUAAAUCUAAUCCAACGAUUUCCUCUUGGUCUUCGGUCACAUUACUGAGUUAUUUAUUCGCGCUA